GCACAUCACGGUGGACAGACCUUGCUCGCAUGAAGCAAAUUAUUCUUGCUUCUGGCCGAGCCUAGAAUUUCGUAGAAACGCAGAAAGUUGUUUUCAUGACUCCGCAAAAUCCACUUCGCGCGAAGCUCUUAGUCAUUAUAAAAGCAUCAGCUCUGAAAAUAUGGAUCAUUAUUGGAAUAAGACUUGAACGUGCUUUGAGCUGGAUUAAAACUAGAGGAGAAAUUGGUUAGACUUCAUGGGUCCGCUGCAACACGUGUUUUGGAUAGUCUGUGUGGUGUUAAGUUUAAACCUCUGUCUAGCAUUUCCAAUGUGGUAUGGUCGUCCGAUCUUCAUGGGAGGUUAUCGACGUAACGGAAACUGGUGGGAAAAUUAUGACGGAGACGGGGAAUUCUUCAAUGGUAGGGGGAACACUGGGCCACACACAUUGGAUGAAAUAGAUAAAACUGACUUCUUGUGGUAACGCGAUAUUUCCGUUGCUAUGGUUGCAUUAUUCUUUUGUGAAAGUGUCGUGAUUAUGAAUAUUGCUUCAAGUCAUUGUCUGCUAAAAGAACGUAAAUUAUUUUAAUAAACUCUAUGGUAACGUAGUAUUACAAAAGACACAGAUCACAUUUAUUUGUCUUACUUUCUCAAAGCAAGAGAUAUGGCGCUGGAAUGAGAUAAUGUAGAACACACUUUGAUUAUUCAUCGGUGCCACUUAAAGGGACUAGACAUCACUGAUACAGAAUAUAAGUGCGUUCGCCUAAAUAGACUUGCUUUAUUACAUGUAGUUUAUAUCAAUAAUAUAACUAAGUGCGUGCGCCUUAUGUUUUCAUUACGUGUAGUUUAUAUAAAUUAACGUCAGAUGAAAUAAUAGCCUUCGCAAAAAAUGGCAUAAUGUCCAACAGCAAUAUAAAUGUACACAUUUCAACUUCAAAUUUUAGUAAAUAAAGACAUUUCAUUUUUAUGCCCCCGCUCCCACUUCGAAGAAAGGCGAACAGUCUCGGUGUAUGUCGGCCCGUGUGUCGGUAAACCGUUAAUAACUAAAGAAUGUUUGGUCGCACAAUGGUCUGACUUCAUGGAUGAUUGCAUUUGGUCAGUGGAUGACUUCUGUUGUUUUAAGGGUCAAUAUGUCAAAGUUAAAUGUCACAGUGACCUUGGGACAGAAAACAUGGUUUCCACUCCAACAUUUAAAAACGCAUUUGUCAAAAGUCGUGAAACUUUAAAUGAUGAUUAUGGGAAGAAGGUCAAAGAUCUAGGUCAAUGGCUAUGAGAUCGAAAACAGUAUGCGCUCAUUAACUAAAGAGUGCUUUAGUCAAUCGUCAAUCUUCAUAGGUGGUCACCUAUAGUCAGUUUUGCCUUUUGUUUUUGUUUGGUUUAACGUCAUAAGUCAUAUGGCGACUUUCCGGCUUUGAUGAUGGAGGAAUUUUACUUACAUGUUAACAUCUUCUAAGGUCACAAUUACACUAGACUUAGCCUGUUGCAUCCUAGCCGGUAGCGUCCUAACAUGAACCUCUUGAUUCCAUUUGUCCCCUUUUAGGGCCAUCAAGAGCUAAGAUUAGAAACAAGCUUUAAACAACUCAUGAAUAAAUUGAUGGAUCUUCACAAAACUUGGUCUGUAGCAUCCUUGCAAGAACCUAUGUAAGCAAUUCAGCUUUUCUUUUUAGAGACCACCAGAGCUAAAUAUAGAAAAGCCUUCAGACUUCAGGUGGGCGGCUAAGGGUCUCAUGGAUCUCUUGUUUAUUUUUGUGAUGAUCCUGUGUGCUUUUCCUGAUAUAGGAGAGUAAAUUACUGAAAAAAUGCAAGCUCUCAACAUAGAGGAGAUUUUUCUUUUAAGAAAUAAUUAUACCAAAGGGAAAAAAAUGUUAAAGUUAUAAAAUUUCUUAUCCAGUUUAUAUAUGAUUUAGCAUUUUGGAAUGACUCAUAAAUUGAUUUAUGACGAAAGUGUCGGCAAUAUAUGCCUUCUUUUACCCUUAGGUGAUCUGUUAGUGUCUCUAAAUUUGUAGAAACACGAAGUUAAUAUUAUUUUUGGUCUUAAUAGUACUUUGGGAUGUCCAUACCGAAUUUUUAUUCUGAGAAAUUUAUCAUUAUCCAGGAAUGUCAUGUCUCUAGAGGUUGUGUUAGUCAGCUUUUCUUAUGUCUUGUACAUUUUGUAUGUGAAAUUAUUUAUCAGGAUUGCUGAUAAUUAAUGAUUGUUAAUAUAUAAGGUGGCACAAUUUGAUACAAAUCAGAUGCUAGAGCAAAGGUUGAAAUAAGAGUAAAAGAUAAGUUACUGAAAUCAGUGACUUACAGCUGAUGAUAUUAAAAGCUGAAAAUAUUACUGUAUGAUGCACAGAUACCAUAAUUUCAAUGAAGGGGCCUCCGUGGCUGAGUGGUUAAGGUCUCUGACUUCAAAUCACUUGCCCGUCAUCGAUGUGGGUUUGAGCCUCAAUCGGGGCGUUGAAUUCUUCAGCUGGCUUACGGAAGGUUGGUGGUUCUAUUCAAGUGCCUGCUUGUGAUGAAAUAAUCCACUGAAGGGCACCUUGAGCCUUCUUCCACCAUCAAAGCUGGAAAGUUGCCAUAUAACCUAUAAUUGUGUCGGUGCCACGUUAAACUCAACAAAAAACAAAACAACAUAAUUUCCAUGAAAUUACCUGCUGCUUUAUUAUGUGUUCAUAGCUUUUACAAUUAUUAUACUUGGAGGAAUUGAUCAAACAAGGGACAGCAUGUAUACCACAGUGUUGUAUUUAAUUUAAACAGUGUUAUUGAUAUUCAUAUUAUAAAAUGUGUGGUAAAGAUUUUCUAUUUUUUGAGCUUGUUGUUAAUGAUUAUAUAAAAUAAAGUAAACCUAGUAUCGCUUUA
rnacentral:lncRNA from 1 species